AUUAGACAGAUAUCUUUUUGAAUAUCCCAGCACACACAAAAUAAGAUUACACACGCCAGACAACAUAACACAGAUUUAAAUUAGACAGAUAUCUUUUUGAGUAUCCCAGCACACACAAAAUAAGGUUACACACACCAGACAACAUAACACAGAUUUAAAUUACAGAGAUAGCUUUUUGAGUAUCCUAGCACACACAAAGUAAGAUACACAGCCAAGACAAAUGGUAUUACAAAAAACAUAGCCUGUUGCACAACAACAGCAUGGCUCCAUUGUCUUCCUCUUUAAGAAUUCCGAGAAGCAUUUCGUCCUGGCAUCAGAAGGGACAACACAUGAGAACCAAAUUAAGCAUAACAUGAAAUAAGAAAAAUGU
rnacentral:lncRNA from 1 species